GACGAACGCUGGCGGCGUGCUUAACACAUGCAAGUCGAACGGAAAGGCCCUGCUUUUGUGGGGUGCUCGAGUGGCGAACGGGUGAGUAACACGUGAGUAACCUGCCCUUGACUUUGGGAUAACUUCAGGAAACUGGGGCUAAUACCGGAUAGGAUCUCCUGCUGCAUGGUGGGCGUUGGAAAGUUUCGGCGGUUGGGGAUGGACUCGCGGGUUAUCAGCUUGUUGGUGGGGUAGUGGCUUACCAAGGCUUUGACGGGUAGCCGGCCUGAGAGGGUGACCGGCGACAAUACGACUGAGAUACGGCGCAGACUCCUACCGGAGGCAGCAGUGGAGAAUAUGGCACAAUGGGCGGGAGCCUGAUGCAGCAACGCCGCGUGCGUGAUGACGGCCUUCGAGUUGUAAACCGCUUUCGCCUGUGACGAGGCGUGAGUGACGGUAAUGGGUAAGGAAGCAACGGCUAACUACGUG
rnacentral:rRNA from 1 species